UGUGUAGGUGGCUGAGCAAGUCAAAGAUGAAAUCCCAAGGCUCAACUUUGGAAUUGUCUUUGAAACUGUUCAGCUUGAGGAUAGCUGAGGAGAAUGGAAUUCCCGGUGGAGCGGUGAAAUGCGUAGAUAUCGGGAGGAACACCAGAGGCGAAGGCGAUUCUCUAAGCUAUUCCUGACACUGAGACACGAAAGCUAGGGGAGCAAACG
rnacentral:rRNA from 1 species